CAUCAUUUUCAUUCAUUUAUUAGUAGUACCCUGAAGGCCUGGAGGCAUUACAGAGGGGGCAUUACAUUACAUUAUGUGUGUGUUACAGCUAUAUCUUUGAUAUUUUUGUGUGAAACAUGCACUGCAAAGUUACUACAGCUCCGUUUCCCCCGAGAUUCAAUUAGCUGCAUGUGUAUUUUACAAGCACACUUAGAUCAAAGAUAGUUUUCUACACAAGGGGAUGCGGUGUGUAGGGAAAGCAUGCACAGAUCAUGUGAGGUCUUUUGCAUGACUCUGCAAAGGUUGUGUAAAUGCAUUCCACAGCAAGUGUUAUUGUUGGACCUCUGGUCGGUUAUUCUUUAACUGCAGACGCUUGCAAAGGACGAUGCCACAGCAAUGAGUCAACCUUAAAGUGAAGCAGCUACAUCCACGGGAACAUAACAGCAUCAAGUUGAGCCAUCUCCCAGUCCAAGGCUCUCCAGGACGCUCAAGGGUGAAGCUUCUGCAGCACUGCCUACACACAACCCAGCGACACCUCGAACAGCAAGGCAUACUAUGCCAGCAGAAGAUGCACCUGAAAAGGCCUGAGGCAUGAAGUAUGGCGUUACACAAUUCCAAACUGCGACCAAGAAGAAGAUGAAGACUCUACGGCAAUCCCAUCAACAACUUUUUCAAAAGGUUGCUCAUCUCGAAAAUGUCAUAGAAGAUUUAUCUGACAAUCGCAUUCUAGGAAAUGAGGAUGUCGCCAUAUUGCAGAGUCUUGGUGGGGCAAAAAAAGACUUGCUCAUGCGUCAACUGCCACAUAAGUCUGGUGCCAGCAAUGUCACCCGCUUACUCGCCAGAGCUCAGGCCAUUUGCAGUGACUUUGCAUUUUUAUUCCCCUAGAGCAUACAGAUAUGUACGAGCUGUUUUCAACACAUGCUUCCCGCAUCCAAAGACACUGUGUAAAUGAUAUCAAUCCAUUGAUAGGGCUGCUGAAUUUUCAAUAGAGAGCAAUGACUGAAUUGGCUAUCAAGGUAAAGCACGGCUCUCCACAUUAUGCAAUCUGGUUGUGGAUGAGAUGGCCAUUCAAAGAAGUAGUGUGGGAUGGGAAAAGCUUCCAUGGAUAUGUUGACAUGGGCAUUGAUGUCAAUGAUGACAGCUUUCCAGUUGCCUAAGAUGCAUUUGUUUUAAUGCUUGUUGCAAUCAAUGGCAGAUGGAAGCUGCCAAUUGGCUACUUUCUAGUGCAUGGCCUUGGUGGUGAGCAGAGGUGCAAUUUGGUACUGCAAGCUGCUAGCUUCACUCACGAAAAAGGUGCACACAUUGUGAGUUUGACCUGCGAUGGCGCUGCAGCGAAUUUGUCAUUGCUGCACAGCCUUGGCUGCAAGAUGGACCUGACUAAGCUGGAUGCUUCUUUUCCACAUCCAGUGACAAAAAAAGCUUUUCUUUGCCAUGUUGGAUCCCUGUCACAUGUUGAAGCUACUGUGGCACACCCUGUUUGAUAAAAAUGGCUAUUGUGAUACAAACAAACAGUUCAUAUUGUUGAAACACAUUGAUGAGCUGCAUGAAAUCCAGUACACAGAGGGCCUACAUUUGGCAAACAAACUUAGACAAGCACAUAUUACCUGGAAAAGCCAGCCCAUGAAAGUCUCAUUGUUGGCUCAAACAUUCAAUCGAUGCAAAUAGUCAAUCGGUAGCAGAUGCUCUGGGUGACUGCAGAGCUCAAAAAAAUUCAAAAUUUUCAAAUUCCUUGCCAACAGAAGAGUUUAUCAGACAUGUCAACAAUGCAUUUGACAUUUUAAAUUCAAGACAUCCAAGGCAAGAAGAAUAGAAAGGACCGCUGUGUCCUGAAAAUGUGGCUCCUGUCACUGCGUAUGUCAAAGAACUUAUGGCUUACUUUUGCUCGCUUAGGUAGUCUGCAGCUGGUAAACUAAUGACAGGGACCAACCAAAACACAGGCUUCAUUUGCUUUGUGGUGUGCUUAGACAACCGUCCAUACAACCACUUGGUUACAGAAAAUGGCCUAUUGGCAUAUCUUCCGACUUCCAAGCUCAGUCAGGACCACCUUGAGUUACUUUUUUGCUGCAAUAAAAUCAUUUGGGGGCUGCAAUGACAACCCAACAGCAAAGCAGUUUGCAGCCGCAUUGAAGCGUCUGAUAAUUCGUAAUGAGGUCAAGGACAUUGAUGGCGGAAAUUGCUUUCUAUUGGAACACAUCGAAAUUCUCUUUGUACGCUCCUCUGAAAAAAACGUACUCCAUCGAUGUAAUUAACCUCACUGCCCCUCAGAGAAGCCCUGCAGCCAGUGAACCACUCACAGAAGCAAUUUUACAGGAUCAUGGUUACUCUGCUGACCCAGGCAAUGUGUCUGAGCUUGUGUGCCUGCGGCUCGCAGUACUGGAAGAAUUGCUGCACAAGUUUUCUCGUGGGUGAAUUAUGUUCAUGAUGGCCCACACAGUUAAUUCCUUUAUCCAUCAACUUCACCUGUCCCACCAGGUUUUAUGUUAAGGCAUUUAUUUGUUUUUUGAGUGACUUUGUAAAAUGCAUAUAUUGUUCAAGAGCGUUGUAUGCAGAUGUCAAACUUUUAUAGAGGGAAAAUGUGAUACCUUAUUGUAAAUUCUGCAAGUACAUGUUUGUUGUCUUGCUGAAUGCUGUAGCUUGAAUCACCUGCAUGCAAAUUAUGCUUAAACAAUUGUUCUGUUCAGCCCAAGCUAAACAGUGUGGACAAUGACGGUAGGUUAGCUGGCCUACCUUUCACUAGAGCAAACUGUGUGAUGACGUGUACAUGCUGUGAAUGCUCUCAAUGGAUUAUGUGUGAGCUAGGUAUACGCUUGAGGAU